AACGCGAAGAACCUUACCUGGGCUUGAACCGCUACUGACCAAGGGUAGAAAUAUCCUCUUCCCGCAAGGGACAGUAGUAGAGGUGCUGCAUGGCUGUCGUCAGCUCGUGCCGUGAGGUGUUGGGUUAAGUCCCGCAACGAGCGCAACCCUUACUCGUAGUUGCUACCCGCAAGGGAGAACUCUACGAGGACUGCUCCGGAUAACGGAGAGGAAGGUGGGGAUGACGUCAAGUCAGCACGGCCUUUAUGUCCAGGGCUACACACGUGUUACAAUGCAUGGUACAGACUGUUGCGAACCCGCGAGGGGGAGCUAAUCGGACAAAACCAUGCUCAGUUCGGAUUGCAGUCUGCAACUCGGCUGCAUGAAGCUGGAAUCGCUAGUAAUGGCGCAUCAGAUCGGCGCCGUGAAUACGUUCCCGGGCCUUGUA
rnacentral:rRNA from 1 species